CGUGCGUUCGCGUCGCGCGCUGUGCGAAGUAAUUUUAAACGUGUGAUUAGUUUUGCGCGCGGGGUAGAGAAAGAUGUGGCCCAUGCUUUGUGUAUUACUCGUGCCGCACUUCAAAGCAAAGCGUUCGUACGCACUGGAAGAUGGAUCCACGAAGGCUGAAACGAGAAGUUGCAACGUGCCGGUCGAUAGUACUGGCAUGAUGGAAACUUUCAGGCAAGUGCCCGUUUAUUUGGUAUUUGUUUUGUUCGCUUUAGAAUUAUCUCACUGUGAUCUCGUAGCAUAAUUCAUAAUUCGCUAAUGUAAGAGCAAGAGCAGCUGCACUCCUACUAGGGCAAGUUAACUACCUCGAUCCCGUCCCGUGUGACUAAUGUUUGUCAAAUUUACAUCGGGCGUGGUGCGCCUGCAUAGUUACGCUUUGUUUCUCAGCGCUUGAAUGUUCAUUGAUGUGAUUCUCUUGUGCGUUCAGCGCGGCUGCUUGUAAUGCGGUCGUUCGCGCUUCAGUUAAAUGUGGUCGACCACUUUUGCGUCGCGUAGAAAAGGACUGGCUUAGCCACCUUUCGAAGGAACCGGCGCGGUAUUGGUUCUCACUGAUGCGGUCGCGUGCUGCUGUUGCUGCUUGCCGGACGCCUUCAGCAUUUUAUCGGCUCGCUUUGUCUGUGCGUGUGCGCGUGCUCGCGCUCGGCUUGAUUUGUGUGUGCGCUCAGCUCAGCUCGCUUUGUGUGUGCGUGCGUGUGUGCGCUCAGCUCAGCUCGCUUUGUGUGUGUGUGUGUGUGUGUGUGUGUGUGUGUGUGUGUGUGUGUGUGCGCGCGUGCGUUCAGUACAUGCCGGUUUGUAUGGGCCGGCGUGUUUGCGCGUGUCUAGUGCGUACGUGUUUUGUGAGUGUGUUGUCUGUGGGUCGAUGUGUGUGCGUGCACGUGUUAGCGUGUCUGCCUGCAUGCAUGUAUGUGUGCUUGUUUGUGUUCAUCAAUGUGCGCGUGCGCGCUUUUGUGUCUGCGCUUUGAGAGUGCGUAUACUUGUGUGUGCGUGUGGAUGCGUUUUGUGUGCGUGCGUAUGUAUUGCAUGAGGCCGGUAGAGUUUUGCUCGCAAUAAAACUCUUCCGAUUUGGUGCAGCGAGUGUUCCCGCUUGAAAGCCGAGUUUGGUUUCAAGCCACCCUGGACAACUGCUGUAUGAGGCGCCGUUUCUCGGGAGGACCAGUGGGAAGGCGCCAAGUCAUGCAGAUGGUAGCAGCGAUUUCACAAUGCCCAGCCUUGGCGCCCACCAUCAAGAGCAAGCCACUUGCUUUCGCCUUCAGACAGAUGGUUAACGUCUUCUUGAAAGCGGUUGAGAAGACAACAUUGCUGCAAGAUUCCAGCAAUGCCAUGCGCUGCAUUUAUUGGUCAAGAUGCUCAGAGAAUGGAGUCCCUGCACCUCGUGGUUAACCGUGAACAUUUCUUUUUCUUUUGGAAAGCUAAAGGCCAUUUGCUGCAUCACUUGCAUUUUUGCAGCUCAGAUGUGUACUAUAUUUUUCUAAUUUUGAAUCAAUAUUGGCUAUUCAGUAUAAAAAAUGACGUACAGCGUGAAGGACAAGGACUGCGAGAGACACACUCCACUGACUUUCAACAAUAUUUUAUUGCGUUGCCACAUCGUAUGUGUAUACACAGAGGGGUCAUGCGCAGAAAAUGAAAGCCAGACACAAGGGGUGUUCUAACAGCAAGUCAUUGUAAAAAGAACAUGGUCACUUUAAAAAAAAAAAAAAACAUCACAAUUUCUAUCUGUUUAGAUACAAAAUUUCACUAGGGGUCAGCGUGAUAGAGGGGGCACUAACGCACACACUACCCAGUUUUCUGGUGAAAUCAGCUUCAAUAAUUUACCGGGUGAGCUGUGUCUCGCUAAAACUUCCGUAUCUUAAAGAGGGGCAUGCAGCCGCAGUCCCGGCAAUGAAUGCCCAAGUGGCCUUGAACAGUGUUAUGGACGUUGUUAUAGUGCUCUCUUAAACGAUCAUUUAGGCGCAUGCCUAUCUGUCCAAUAUAUUUACUGCCUCAAAAUGGGAAUUUGGGAAACCACAUUCAUUGCACACAUCGCAAAACGUUUUCUGUGCUCGGCAGAGCAACUCUGACGUGAUUUAGGCACGUUUACACACUUACAGAGCCUUGCCAGCUUUUCCGGGGCUGAGAAAAGGACUGUGAUUUCUGCAGGUCCCCUAAUCUUUUUUAGCCUAUGGGAGACAUCAUGAACAUACGGUAGCACUGCAAACCUGUGUCUUUCAACCGGCUGGUUCCUUGACCGAGCGUGCUCAUCAUGUUUUGUGCACUUCAGAAGCUGUUCCGCUAUGGCUGAAAUUAAGGCCAAAGGGUAGCCAACCCAAGAAAGGCAAUCAGCCUGUGCAGCAACGCUAUGUUGCAUCUCUUGUGAGCAAGAUUUAUUGAGGCUGUUAAGGAGGCAAAGCUUCACAAUAUCUCAUUUGACUUUGUUGGACAGACAGGCAGGCGCCUAAACAAUCAUUUAGGAGAGCACGAUAACAACGUCCAUAACACUGUUCAAGGCCACUUCGGCAUCCAUUGCUGGGACUGCGGCUGCAUGCCCCUCUUUGACGGUACGGAAGCUUUAGUGAGACAGG